CAAAGACCACCUCUACGUUCUCAGUGCUUCUCCGGAGGAUCUCAGGGAAGUGCUGCUUGUACUUUCUGUUGAUAACCUUCAGCAUGGCUUCCCUCGUAAUGGGCUCUUUCCUUAUAUACUUGUUGAGGAGGAACUGCACCAAUUCGCCCGUCUUCGUGUUCAGAAGAUCUCUUCCUGUGCUCUCAGAGGAGGACGGGCCAUGGAAGGAGUUGGGACUUUCCCCCUUUUGGCCCUUGGCACCUUCAUCAGAACUUAGCCUGGGACUCCUUUCUCCGCUGACCUGGGGCAGCCAGUCUUGCAACCAAAGCCCUCUGCUGAAACGCUCCGUGCAGCCCUGUCUACUGAGGGCUCAGGAUCUUCACCUUGCUACUUGACCAGUCCUGGGACUCCAUCCUCAGCUCACUACAGGCAACACCCUUCAAAGCAAGAUCCUUGCUUCAAUGGGACCUCAGAUUUGGACAUUCAGGUUUCUGGGGCUCCACUAUGCACAGCUGGGGCUUCCCCCACCAGACCAAGAUUCUCCCUUCCCUGAGACCCUCCAGGCCGAAAUGACAGUCACCUCAACCUGACAGCUCUUCCUGAGCUUCCCAAGUCACAGGAGAGGUUGGAUUUGGGAAGCAAUGCUAAGCAGUGGAAUGGACAUCGACAUAGAGAGAUCAGCUCCACACUUAUACUCUGCCACUCAACUUCCCCAUGUGACUUGAGGAUCACUCUAACUCCAAAACAUAGCAAGCUCGCGGAACAUCAGGGUUCAUGCAAAGUAUUCCAAGGAGCCCCUUGAAGCAACAGAAUGGAUUGCUCUUCUAUGGUGGAAUGGCACCCUGGAUGAUUAAAACCGUAGCAGCAAACAAAACCUCCAUCAAGUAAGAAUUCAGAGUGUGAGAUAUCACGCACAGCCACGCGUGGAUCUUUAUAUACGUGUCAAUGUGUUUGAUUGUAUUUUUGCUUUCAAAGUAUGUAUUGAGCAUUUCUUCUAGGUCCUCAGUAACAUCUUUUUAAAAAAAAAAUAAAUGCUUAGGGAAUUGUUUUAUAUUAAA
rnacentral:lncRNA from 1 species